rnacentral:snRNA from 1 species
AUACCUUUCUCGGCCUUUUGGCUAAGAUCAAGUGUAGUAUCUGUUCUUAUCAGUUUAAUAUCUGAUAUGUGGGCUAUUAGCCCACACGAUAUUAACUUAAUUUUUUAAGGGGAAGGUCCAUUAGGGUAGCUUGCUAUCUGGUCCUUCGAGCGUCGCCUAGGCUUUGCACUAUAGCCCAGGCCUGGCGCACCUCAC